AACGAACGCUGGCGGCAGGCCUAACACAUGCAAGUCGGACGAGGUUUUCGGACCUAGUGGCGGACGGGUGAGUAACGCGUGGGAACGUGCCCUUUGGUUCGGAAUAGCCCCGGGAAACUGGGAGUAAUACCGGAUAGGCCCUACGGGGGAAAGAUUUAUCGCCAAAGGAUCGGCCCGCGUUGGAUUAGGUAGUUGGUGGGGUAAUGGCCUACCAAGCCGACGAUCCAUAGCUGGUUUGGGAGGAUGAUCAGCCACAAUGGGACUGAGACACGGCCCAGACUCCUACGGGAGGCAGCAGUGGGGAAUCUUAGACAAUGGGGGAAACCCUGAUCUAGCCAUGCCGCGUGAUCGAUGAAGGCCUUAGGGUUGUAAAGAUCUUUCAGUGGGGAAGAUAAUGACUGUACCCACAGAAGAAGCCCCGGCUAACUCCGUGCCAGCCGCCGCGGUAACAC
rnacentral:rRNA from 1 species